rnacentral:rRNA from 1 species
CAAUAGCGUAUAUUAAAGUUGUUGCAGUUAAAAAGCUCGUAGUUGGAUUUCGGGGCAGCCUGGCUGGUCCGCCGCAAGGCGAGUACUGGUCAGCCGCCCUUCCUCUCGAAAGCCCCGACUGCUCUUUAUUGCAGUGGUCGGGUAGUUCGGGACGUUUACUUUGAAAAAAUUAGAGUGUUCAAGGCAGGCCUACGCCUGAAUACAUUAGCAUGGAAUAAUGGAAGAGGACCUCGGUCCUAUUUUGUUGGUUUCCAGGACCGAAGUAAUGAUUAAGAGGGACAGUUGGGGGCAUUCGUAUUUAAUUGUCAGAGGUGAAAUUCUCGGAUUUAUGAAAGACGAACAACUGCGAAANCANNNGCCAAGGAUGUUUUCAUNAA